UACGGAGGGGGCAAGUGUUAUUCGGAAUUAUUGGGCGUAAAGGGCGCGUAGGCGGCUAGAUGUGUCAAAGGUGAAAUCCCUCGGCUCAACUGAGGAACUGCCUUUGAAACUGUCUGGCUUGAGGCCGGGAGAGGGUAGCGGAAUUCCCAGUGUAGCGGUGAAAUGCGUAGAUAUUGGGAGGAACACCAGUGGCGAAGGCGGCUACCUGGACCGGUUCUGACGCUGAGGCGCGAAAGCUAGGGGAGCAAACGGG
rnacentral:rRNA from 1 species